rnacentral:rRNA from 1 species
UACGUAGGGGGCUAGCGUUGUUCGGAAUUACUGGGCGUAAAGCGCACGUAGGCGGUUUGGAAAGUUGGGGGUGAAAUCCCGGGGCUCAACCCCGGAACUGCCUUCAAAACUCCCAGUCUGGAGGUCGAGAGAGGUGAGUGGAAUUCCGAGUGUAGAGGUGAAAUUCGUAGAUAUUCGGAGGAACACCAGUGGCGAAGGCGGCUCACUGGCUCGAUACUGACGCUGAGGUGCGAAAGCGUGGGGAGCAAACAGG